ACAGCUAGCUACUAGAGACCAACCCAUUCUAGAUUUGCGUCGGGAGCAAGAGUCAUUUAUCCCGCCGGUAUAAUAGAAAUGGCGCCCACGAUCCGCCCACAAAGCUACUUGCGUUUGGCGUUUCAUACUUGGGUUUCAGAUCGUUAAAAUAGGGCC